UGUAUAAUAAAACAGGCCGACCGUUUAAUAGUGGUAAUAGACAAAACAAAAUAUGACUUGGGACGGCUCGCAGGUGGUCGCGGCCGCUUAAUGGAGAUGGCCGUUUAGUAUAGAGGUGUAUUCUAUAUAGUUAAUUAUAGGGAAUAUUUUUGGGACUUCGACAUGUGGCAGGAUUGCCAGAUUGCUGAAUAAAUAAGCCAAACAUUGUUAUAAACGGCCCUUUGAUGUUUUUGUUUCGAACAAAGAAAACAAAAGGUUAUGACAUAAUAAUAUUUGGCUUACAUAUUCAGCAAUCUGGCAACCUUGACAUGUUGCCGUUUAAUAGAGGGUGGCCGCUUAAUAGAGGGCCGUUUAAUGAAGGUUCGACUGUAUUUGCGAAAAACGGCGUAUCAAAUAUCAACCAAGCGUUGUUCAAAAACCUUCACAAAUUCAAACGUUUGUAUCUCGCUAAACGCUGAACGUGCAAUUUAGGC